AACCGUUUGUUGUUGUUGUUAGCGCCUUAGCAACGGAGCUAACUUAGCUUAGCUUAGCUUAGCUUUAACUGUCUAACUGUCUACACAAGUCAGUUCGUAUCAGUUCUAUCUUUUAAUUUUAAAUAAGUUUUAGUUUAUAUUGUAAAGCGUAACUAAUAACUUGUUGUUGCCGUGUUAUUAACGGUAAUAACCACUGGGUCAUAACAUCUGUCUUAUAGAGUUAUUACUGUUAAGAGCUUUCUGUGAAGAUGAGCUGCAUAUUGGACGAUCCGUCACUGGAAAAAAAGUUUAAAGGUCACAGAGACUCGAUCAGCAGCCUGGACUUCAGCUCCAACACCAAACAAAUAGCUACAGGAUCAUUGGACACGUGUGUGAUGAUCUGGAACAUGAAGCCUCACGCGAGAUCGUACCGGUUUGUUGGACAUAAAGACGGCGUGCUGUGUGUCCACUUCUCUCCAUCAGGACAGCUCCUCGCCUCGGCCUCACGCGACAGAACUGUACGUCUCUGGCUGCCCACCGUGAGAGGAGAGUCGAGUGUGUUUAGAGCUCACACAGGGACGGUGCGGAGCGUGAACUUCUGCAGUGAUGGACAGACUUUAGUCACUGCAUCAGAUGAUAAAACAGUGAAGGUGUGGACUGUCCAUCGGCAGAAAUUCCUCUUCUCCUUUAACCGUCACAUCAACUGGGUCCGCUGUGCAAAGUUUUCUCCAGACGGGAGAUUAAUUGUCUCAGCGAGCGACGACAAAACAGUGAAGAUCUGGGACAAGAACAGCCGAGAGUGCGUUCACUCCUUCUGUGAGCACAGCGGCUAUGUGAAUUACGCUGAUUUUCACCCCAGUGGGACGUGCAUCGCUGCUGCCAGCACAGACAACACAGUUAAAGUGUGGGACAUUCGCACUCAUAAACUUCUACAGCAUUACCAAGUCCACAGUGGACCUGUGAACUCUCUGUCCUUCCACCCAGCUGGGAAUCACCUGAUCACCGCCUCCACCGACUCCACACUGAAGAUCCUCGACCUGCUGGAGGGCCGACUGUUAUACACACUGCACGGACACCAGGGCUCAGCUUCCUGUGUGUCGUUCUCAAGAACAGGGGAUCACUUCGCCUCCGGAGGCUCGGACGAACAAGUGCUGGUGUGGAAGACCAACUUCAGCGCUGACGUGAUGAAGAGGCAGCGGUCGGAUGAAGCUCCCGUACAGGCUCCAGAAGUCUCAGACGUGUCUCAAUGCGACUCCAGGCCGAACGCUCGCACGUCUCACAGACCAGACGCUAGCUGUGACUCCGCCCACACGGAGCCGAACCAAUCAAAUCACUCCGAUCUGUCAGACACACAUCUCUCUCCUACACUCACCACAACACUGCAGCAUAUUGUGGGUCAGCUUGAUGUCCUCACACAGUUACAGGUUUUUUUCCUGCUUCCUCUUUCGUUCACUUGAGGUGCUUUUGGUGAUGUGCAGAAGGAAAAGACGUCUAAAUAAACACAAACACUCCAGCAGCUGGAGGGGGGACAUGAAUAAUUUACAGGAAAACGGUGUCCAUACUCGAACAGAGACUGACUUUGACGGAGGACAAACUAAAGGAAUGUGUGGAGAAUCAGCACAAAAUCAAUCUGCAGCUUCAGAGCAGAACUUAGUCUGGUCUCUAACAGCCCCCCGUCUGGUCUCUAACAGCCCCCCGUCUGGUCUCUAACAGCCCACCGUCUGGUCUCUAACAGCCCCCCGUCUGGUCUCUAACAGCCCCCCGUCUGGUCUCUAAAAGCCCCCGUCUGGUCUCUAAUAGCCCCCGUCUGGUCUCUAACAGCCACCCGUCUGGUCUCUAACAGCCCCCGUCUGGUCUCUAACAGCCCCCCGUCUGGUCUCUAACAGCCCCCCGUCUGGUCUCUAAUAGCCCCUGUCUGGUCUCUAACAGCUGGUCUCUAACAGCUCAGUUCUUUCAUUUUCCUCCUUUUCUGAAACCUCUG